AGCCUAAACCUGUAAAAAAUUACGGGCAUGGUAAUCGAAACCUGUUCAAGAUAUAGACCCCGUCGUAUGGGACUACCUUGAACAGGUCAUGUCUGGAAACGGACAUGGAUAGGUGGCGAAAGCCAUCCAUC
rnacentral:sRNA from 12 species